rnacentral:rRNA from 1 species
CAGCUCUCCGAGUGGUGUGGAUGUUUAUUGGGCCUAAAGCAUCCGUAGCUGGCUGAGUUAGUCCCCUGUUAAAUCCACCGAAUCAAUCGUUGGAUUGCGGGGGAUACUGCUCGGCUAGGGGACGGGAGAGGCAGACGGUAUUUCCGGGGUAAGGGUGAAAUCUUAUAAUCCCGGGAAGACCACCAGUGGCGAAGGCUGUCUGCUAGAACGCGCCCGACGGUGAGGGAUGAAAGCUGGGGUAGCGAACCGGAUUAGAUACCCGCGUAGUCC